GCCCCUUAGCUCAGUUGGUUAGAGCAGGCGACUCAUAAUCGCUUGGUCGUGGGUUCUUAAGUGGUAUGCA
rnacentral:tRNA from 1 species